rnacentral:lncRNA from 1 species
AGAGAGAGACAGGCAGAGACACAGGCAGAGGGAGAAGCAGGCUCCAUGCACCGAGAGCCCGACGUGGGAUUGGAUCCCCGGUCUCCAGGAUCGCGCCCUGCGCCAAAGGCAGGCGCCAAACCGCUGUGCCACCCAGGGAUCCCAGCACCCACAUUCUAGAACACAUAUUCCUCUUAUUCUGUUUUUGUAUCCUUGUCCCUCUGCCUUCAACUAGUCUUUUUUUUCCUAUUUAGUACCUUGUACAUAUUCACCUUUGUCUUUUGGAAAUUGUGGCUAAACAAUCUAAAUCGUGUGAUGUUCUCUACAGACAAAUACUGGAAAGAUAACUUUCUUCAAAAAAGUUCAACUGACUGGGACUCAAAUGGUUCAAACCAUUCUGAGGAAGGAGCUGAGUCUGCACCUUCCAAGCAAUCAAGGCAGAUGAUAUCAUGACACAAGUUCUUUGUCAUCCUUUACAUGGUCCAGUGUAUAAGAAAUGGAAAAAAGACAAUUCAUUUUUCAUAGCUCCUUCAUGUACUCUUUGCGUGGGCUGGAUUCUCUAAUGCUUUAUUUCAGGCCAUUUCCAGCUUUUCUCUAAGAUCAAUAUUUCAAACACAAUAGAUUCUGGAUGUGUAUAUAGGUUUGAGUGUUCAUGUGUGGUUGUGAUAUUGUGUUCUGUUUCUAACUUUUG